rnacentral:rRNA from 1 species
UACGUAGGGCGCAAGCGUUAUCCGGAAUUAUUGGGCGUAAAGAGCUCGUAGGCGGUUUGUCGCGUCGGGCGUGAAAGUCCGGGGCUCAACUCCGGAUCUGCGGUGGGUACGGGCAGACUAGAGUGAUGUAGGGGAGACUGGAAUUCCUGGUGUAGCGGUGAAAUGCGCAGAUAUCAGGAGGAACACCGAUGGCGAAGGCAGGUCUCUGGGCAUUAACUGACGCUGAGGAGCGAAAGCAUGGGGAGCGAACAGG